rnacentral:rRNA from 1 species
UGGGGAAUAUUGGACAAUGGGCGCAAGCCUGAUCCAGCCAUGCCGCGUGAGUGACGAAGGCCUUAGGGUUGUAAAGCUCUUUUGGCGGGGAAGAUAAUGACGGUACCCGCAGAAUAAGCUCCGGCUAACUUCGUGCCAGCAGCCGCGGUAAUACGAAGGGAGCUAGCGUUGUUCGGAAUCACUGGGCGUAAAGCGCACGUAGGUGGGCAGUUAAGUCAGGGGUGAAAGCCCGAGGCUCAACCUCGGAAUUGCCUCUGAUACUGGCUGUCUAGAGUUCGAGAGAGGUGAGUGGAAUUCCUAGUGUAGAGGUGAAAUUCGUAGAUAUUAGGAAGAACACCGGUGGCGAAGGCGGCUCACUGGCUCGAUACUGACACUGAGGUGCGAAAGCGUGGGGAGCAAACGGGAUUAGAUACCCCCGUAGUCCCUGAGCGGGCUGGCAAGGCGCAU